GACGAACGUUGGCGGCGUGCUUAAUACAUGCAAGUCAACUGAAGCAGUGGUAGCAAUAUCGCUGUGGAGGUGGCGCACGGGUGAGUAACACGUAGGUAAUCUGCCUUCAGGUCUGGCAUAACUCCGGGAAACCGGGGCUAAUAGCAGAUGAUGCAGCGGCUCGACAUCGAGACAGUUGUUAAAGCUAUGGCGCCUGAAGAUGAGCCUGCGUCUGAUUAGCUAGUUGGCGGGGUAACGGCCCACCAAGGCAACGAUCAGUAGCUGGUCUGAGAGGAUGAUCAGCCACACUGGAACUGAGACACGGUCCAGACUCCUACGGGAGGCAGCAGUAAGGAAUAUUGCUCAAUGGGAGAAAUCCUGAAGCAGCAACGCCGCGUGAGGGACGAAGGGCUUUUGCUUGUAAACCUCUGUAGUGAGAGAAAAAAAUCCCAAUCUUUGGGACAUGAUGGUAACUCAAAAGUAAGCCCCGGCUAACUACGUG
rnacentral:rRNA from 1 species